rnacentral:rRNA from 1 species
AACGAACGCUGGCGGCGCGCUUAACACAUGCAAGUCGAACGAGAAGGCGUAGCAAUACGCUUGUACAGUGGCGAACGGGUGAGGAAUACAUGGGUAACCUACCCUCGAGUGGGGGAUAACCCGCCGAAAGGCGGGCUAAUACCGCGUACGCUUCCGAUCUUGCGGGAUUGGAAGGAAAGCUGUCCCUUGGGGAUGGCGCUCAAGGAUGGGCUCAUGUCCUAUCAGCUUGUUGGUAGGGUAACGGCCUACCAAGGCAUCGACGGGUAGCUGGUCUGAGAGGACGAUCAGCCACACUGGCACUGCGACACGGGCCAGACUCCUACGGGAGGCAGCAGUGAGGAAUAUUGCGCAAUGGGCGAAAGCCUGACGCAGCGACGCCGCGUGGGGGAUGAAGGUCUUCGGAUUGUAAACCCCUUUCGGGAGGGAAGACGGCCUUAGACAACUAAGGCGGACGGUACCUCCAGAAGCAGCCACGGCUAACUUCGUGCCAGCAGCCGCCGCCGUAAC